GAUGAACGCUAGCGGCAGGCCUAAUACAUGCAAGCCGGACGGCAAGUUGAGUAGCAAUACUUGACCUAGAGUGGCGUAAGGGUGCGUAACACGUAUGCAAUCUGCCCACAGCCGGGAGAUAGCCCUCCGAAAGGAGGAUUAAUAUCCCAUAGGAAGAUGAGAUGGCAUCAUUUUAUUUUAAACUACGGGGCUGUGGAUGAGCAUGCGGUUGAUUAGCUAGUUGGCGGGGUAAAGGCCCACCAAGGCGAUGAUCAAUAGGGGACCUGAGAGGGUGAUCCCCCACACUGGCACUGAGAUACGGGCAGACUCCUACGGGAGGCAGCAGUAGGGAAUAUUGGACAAUGGGUGUAAGGCCUGAUCCAGCCAUGCCGCGUGCAGGAAGAAGGCCUU
rnacentral:rRNA from 1 species